rnacentral:rRNA from 1 species
GACGAACGCUGGCGGCGUGCUUAACACAUGCAAGUCGAGCGAGAACCCAGGGCUUGCCCUGGGGGACAGCGGCGAACGGGUGCGUAACACGUGACCAACCUGCCCCAGACACUGGGAUAACCCCGGGAAACCGGAGCUAAUACCGGAUACUCCGCUCGAGCCUCAUGGCUCGAUCGGGAAAGGUCAGCCGGUCUGGGAUGGGGUCGCGGCCUAUCAGCUUGUUGGCGGGGUAACGGCCCACCAAGGCGA